rnacentral:rRNA from 1 species
AGGUAAGCUACUAAGAGCGAAUGGUGGAUGCCUUGACUGGUAAAGGCGAUGAAGGACGUACUAGACUGCGAUAAGCUACGGGGAGCUGUCAAGAAGCUUUGAUCCGUAGAUUUCCGAAUGGGGCAACCCAAUGUAUAGAGAUAUACAUUACCUAUAUAGGAGCGAACGAGGGGAAUUGAAACAUCUUAGUACCCUCAGGAAAAGAAAUCAAUAGAGAUUGCGUCAGUAGCGGCGAGCGAAAGUGCAAGAGGGCAAACCCAGUGCUUGCACUGGGGGUUGUAGGACUGCAAUGUGCAAGAGCUGAGUUUAGCAGAACAUUCUGGAAAGUAUAGCCAUAGAGGGUGAUAGUCCCGUAUGCGAAAAACAAAGCUUAGCUAGCAGUAUCCUGAGUAGGGCGGGACACGAGGAAUCCUGUCUGAAUCCGGGUCGACCACGAUCCAACCCUAAAUACUAAUACCAGAUCGAUAGUGCACAAGUACCGUGAGGGAAAGGUGAAAAGAACUGAGGUGAUCAGAGUGAAAUAGAACCUGAAACCAUUUGCUUACAAUCAUUCAGAGCACUAUGUAGCAAUACAGUGUGAUGGACUGCCUUUUGCAUAAUGAGCCUGCGAGUUGUGGUGUCUGGCAAGGUUAAGCAAACGCGAAGCCGUAGCGAAAGCGAGUCUGAAUAGGGCGCUUAGUCAGAUGCUGCAGACCCGAAACGAAGUGAUCUAUCCAUGAGCAAGUUGAAGCUAGUGUAAGAACUAGUGGAGGACUGAACCCAUAGGCGUUGAAAAGCCCCGGGAUGACUUGUGGAUAGGGGUGAAAGGCCAAUCAAACUUCGUGAUAGCUGGUUCUCUCCGAAAUAUAUUUAGGUAUAGCGUUGUGUCGUAAUAUAAGGGGGUAGAGCACUGAAUGGGCUAGGGCAUACACCAAUGUACCAAACCCUAUCAAACUCCGAAUACCUUAUAUGUAAUCACAGCAGUCAGGCGGCGAGUGAUAAAAUCCGUCGUCAAGAGGGAAACAACCCAGACUACCAGCUAAGGUCCCUAAAUCUUACUUAAGUGGAAAACGAUGUGAAGUUACUUAAACAACCAGGAGGUUGGCUUAGAAGCAGCCAUCCUUUAAAGAAAGCGUAAUAGCUCACUGGUCUAGUGAUUUUGCGCGGAAAAUAUAACGGGGCUAAAGUAAGUACCGAAGCUGUAGACUUAGUUUACUAAGUGGUAGGAGAGCGUUCUAUUUGCGUCGAAGGUAUACCGGUAAGGAGUGCUGGAGCGAAUAGAAGUGAGCAUGCAGGCAUGAGUAGCGAUAAUUAAUGUGAGAAUCAUUAACGCCGUAAACCCAAGGUUUCCUACGCGAUGCUCGUCAUCGUAGGGUUAGUCGGGUCCUAAGUCGAGUCCGAAAGGGGUAGACGAUGGCAAAUUGGUUAAUAUUCCAAUACCAACAUUAGUGUGCGAUGGAAGGACGCUUAGGGCUAAGGGGGCUAGCGGAUGGAAGUGCUAGUCUAAGGUCGUAGGAGGUUAUACAGGAAAAUCCGUAUAACAAUACUCCGAGAACUGAAAGGCUUUUUGAAGUCUUCGGAUGGAUAGAAGAACCCCUGAUGCCGUCGAGCCAAGAAAAGUUUCUAAGUUUAGCUAAUGUUGCCCGUACCGUAAACCGACACAGGUGGGUGGGAUGAGUAUUCUAAGGCGCGUGGAAGAACUCUCUUUAAGGAACUCUGCAAAAUAGCACCGUAUCUUCGGUAUAAGGUGUGGUUAGCUUUGUAUUAGGAUUUACUCCGAAAGCGAAGAAACUUACAACAAAGAGUCCCUCCCGACUGUUUACCAAAAACACAGCACUCUGCUAACUCGUAAGAGGAUGUAUAGGGUGUGACGCCUGCCCGGUGCUCGAAGGUUAAUUGAUGGGGUUAGCAUUAGCGAAGCUCUUGAUCGAAGCCCGAGUAAACGGCGGCCGUAACUAUAACGGUCCUAAGGUAGCGAAAUUCCUUGUCGGUUAAAUACCGACCUGCAUGAAUGGCGUAACGAGAUGGGAGCUGUCUCAAAGAGGGAUCCAGUGAAAUUGUAGU